rnacentral:rRNA from 1 species
GAUGAACGCUGGCGGCGUGCCUAAUACAUGCAAGUCGAGCGAACAGACGAGGAGCUUGCUCCUCUGACGUUAGCGGCGGACGGGUGAGUAACACGUGGAUAACCUACCUAUAAGACUGGGAUAACUUCGGGAAACCGGAGCUAAUACCGGAUAAUAUAGUGAACCGCAUGGUUCAAUAGUGAAAGACGGUUUUGCUGUCACUUAUAGAUGGAUCCGCGCCGCAUUAGCUAGUUGGUAAGGUAACGGCUUACCAAGGCAACGAUGCGUAGCCGACCUGAGAGGGUGAUCGGCCACACUGGAACUGAGACACGGUCCAGACUCCUACGGGAGGCAGCAGUAGGGAAUCUUCCGCAAUGGGCGAAAGCCUGACGGAGCAACGCCGCGUGAGUGAUGAAGGUCUUCGGAUCGUAAAACUCUGUUAUUAGGGAAGAACAAAUGUGUAAGUAACUAUGCACGUCUUGACGGUACCUAAUCAGAAAGCCACGGCUAACUACGUG